rnacentral:rRNA from 1 species
UGUUAUACUUAAUUGAAAUUGUUUAAACUUGAGUAGUAAUCAGUUACGUUCUUGAAACUUAAAGGAUUUGGCGGUAUCUUAGUCUAGUUAGAGGAACCUGUUUUAUAAACGAUAUACCACGAAGUAUCUUACUUUUGUUAGUUAAAUCAGCUUGUAUACCGUCAUUAUUAGAUAAUCUUUAUAAAGAGUUAUUGAGAUAAAGUUUUAUUAGUAUAUUAGAUCAAGGUGCAGCCGAUGCGGGAGCAAUUAAUGGGUUACAAUAUUAUUUGACAUAUACGGAAAAGAAGGUGUAAUGUUUUUUGAAGGUGGAUUUAAUAGUAAUUGUGUUUUAAUAAGGUAAGAUGAUAUUAGCUCUAUGAUAU